rnacentral:rRNA from 1 species
GAUGAACGCUGGCGGCGUGCCUAAUACAUGCAAGUCGAGCGAACGGACGAGAAGCUUGCUUCUCUGAUGUUAGCGGCGGACGGGUGAGUAACACGUGGAUAACCUACCUAUAAGACUGGGAUAACUUCGGGAAACCGGAGCUAAUACCGGAUAAUAUUUUGAACCGCAUGAUUCAAAAGUUAAAGACGGUCUUGCUGUCACUUAUAGAUGGAUCCGCGCUGCAUUAUCUAGUUGGUAAGGUAACGGCUUACCAAGGCAACGAUGCAUAGCCGACCUGAGAGGGUGAUCGGCCACACUGGAACUGAGACACGGUCCAGACUCCUACGGGAGGCAGCAGUAGGGAAUCUUCCGCAAUGGGCGAAAGCCUGACGGAGCAACGCCGCGUGAGUGAUGAAGGUCUUCGGAUCGUAAAACUCUGUUAUUAGGGAAGAACAUAUGUGUAAGUAACUGUGCACAUCUUGACGGUACCUAAUCAGAAAGCCACGGCUAACUACGUG